UGGUCUAUCUUAAUCCCUGCUGGUCAGUCAGUGAUCUGCCAGGCUUCACUUAUGAACCAGAGCAUCAUAGAAGCCCUGCCAAAGUUGAGCAAGGCCUUUGUAGGCUCAUGGCAGUGGCACUUCUGAACACAC
ensembl:snoRNA